rnacentral:rRNA from 1 species
CCGGUUGAUCCUGCCGGACCCCACUGCUAUCGGGAUAGGACUAAGACAUGCUAGUCAAGCGCUUUCUAGCUAAUGUGAGAGCGCGGCGUACAGCUCAGUAACACGUGGCCAACCUGCCCUUGGGACGGGAACACCCCCGGGAAACUGGGGUUGAUUCCCGAUAGGUGGAGAAGUCUGGAAUGAAUCUUCGCUCAAAAGACGUUUAUGUCAUGCUCAUAUUCGUCGCCCAGGGAUGGGGCCGCGACCGAUCAGGUAGUUGGUGAGGCAAUGGCUCACCAAGCCUUUUACCGGUGCGGGCCGUGAGAGCGGGAGCCCGGAGAUGGGCACUGAGACAAGGGCCCAGGCCCCACGGGGCGCAGCAGUCGCGAAAACUUUGCAAUACACGAAAGUGUGACAGGGCUAUCCCGAGUGCCAUCCGCUGAGGAAGGCUUUUACCCAGUAUAAAUAGCUGGGAGAAUAAGGAGAGGGCAAGUCUGGUGUCAGCCGCCGCGGUAAUACCAGCUCUCCGAGUAGUGUGGACGUUUAUUGGGCCUAAAGCAUCCGUAGCUUGCUAGAUAAGUCCUCUGUUAAAUCCACCGAUUCAAUCGUUGGAUUGCGGGGGAUACUGUUUGGCUAGGGGACGGGAGAGGUCGACGGUAUUUCCGGGGUAGGGGUGAAAUCCUAUAAUCCCGGGAAGACCACCAGUGGCGAAGGCUGUCGACUAGAACGCGCCCGACGGUGAGGGAUGAAAGCUGGGGGAGCGAACCGGAUUAGAUACCCGGGUAGUCCCAGCUGUAAACGAUGCAGGCUAGGUGUUUGGGCGGCCACGAGCCGCCCUAGUGCCGCAGGGAAGCUGUUAAGCCUGCCGCCUGGGGAGUACGGCCGCAAGGCUGAAACUUAAAGGAAUUGGCGGGGGAGCACCACAAGGGGUGAAGCUUGCGGUUUAAUUGGAGUCAACGCCGGAAAU